ACUAAGCGUACACGGUGGAUGCCCUGGCAGUCAGAGGCGAUGAAGGACGUGCUAAUCUGCGAUAAGCGUCGGUAAGGUGAUAUGAACCGUUAUAACCGGCGAUUUCCGAAUGGGGAAACCCAGUGUGAUUCGUCACACUAUCAUUAACUGAAUCCAUAGGUUAAUGAGGCGAACCGGGGGAACUGAAACAUCUAAGUACCCCGAGGAAAAGAAAUCAACCGAGAUUCCCCCAGUAGCGGCGAGCGAACGGGGAGCAGCCCAGAGCCUGAAUCAGUGUGUGUGUUAGUGGAAGCGUCUGGAAAGGCGCGCGAUACAGGGUGACAGCCCCGUACACAAAAAUGCACAUGCUGUGAGCUCGAUGAGUAGGGCGGGACACGUGGUAUCCUGUCUGAAUAUGGGGGGACCAUCCUCCAAGGCUAAAUACUCCUGACUGACCGAUAGUGAACCAGUACCGUGAGGGAAAGGCGAAAAGAACCCCGGCGAGGGGAGUGAAAAAGAACCUGAAACCGUGUACGUACAAGCAGUGGGAGCACGCUUAGGCGUGUGACUGCGUACCUUUUGUAUAAUGGGUCAGCGACUUAUAUUCUGUAGCAAGGUUAACCGAAUAGGGGAGCCGAAGGGAAACCGAGUCUUAACUGGGCGUUAAGUUGCAGGGUAUAGACCCGAAACCCGGUGAUCUAGCCAUGGGCAGGUUGAAGGUUGGGUAACACUAACUGGAGGACCGAACCGACUAAUGUUGAAAAAUUAGCGGAUGACUUGUGGCUGGGGGUGAAAGGCCAAUCAAACCGGGAGAUAGCUGGUUCUCCCCGAAAGCUAUUUAGGUAGCGCCUCGUGAAUUCAUCUCCGGGGGUAGAGCACUGUUUCGGCAAGGGGGUCAUCCCGACUUACCAACCCGAUGCAAACUGCGAAUACCGGAGAAUGUUAUCACGGGAGACACACGGCGGGUGCUAACGUCCGUCGUGAAGAGGGAAACAACCCAGACCGCCAGCUAAGGUCCCAAAGUCAUGGUUAAGUGGGAAACGAUGUGGGAAGGCCCAGACAGCCAGGAUGUUGGCUUAGAAGCAGCCAUCAUUUAAAGAAAGCGUAAUAGCUCACUGGUCGAGUCGGCCUGCGCGGAAGAUGUAACGGGGCUAAACCAUGCACCGAAGCUGCGGCAGCGACACUAUGUGUUGUUGGGUAGGGGAGCGUUCUGUAAGCCUGCGAAGGUGUGCUGUGAGGCAUGCUGGAGGUAUCAGAAGUGCGAAUGCUGACAUAAGUAACGAUAAAGCGGGUGAAAAGCCCGCUCGCCGGAAGACCAAGGGUUCCUGUCCAACGUUAAUCGGGGCAGGGUGAGUCGACCCCUAAGGCGAGGCCGAAAGGCGUAGUCGAUGGGAAACAGGUUAAUAUUCCUGUACUUGGUGUUACUGCGAAGGGGGGACGGAGAAGGCUAUGUUGGCCGGGCGACGGUUGUCCCGGUUUAAGCGUGUAGGCUGGUUUUCCAGGCAAAUCCGGAAAAUCAAGGCUGAGGCGUGAUGACGAGGCACUACGGUGCUGAAGCAACAAAUGCCCUGCUUCCAGGAAAAGCCUCUAAGCAUCAGGUAACAUCAAAUCGUACCCCAAACCGACACAGGUGGUCAGGUAGAGAAUACCAAGGCGCUUGAGAGAACUCGGGUGAAGGAACUAGGCAAAAUGGUGCCGUAACUUCGGGAGAAGGCACGCUGAUAUGUAGGUGAAGCGACUUGCUCGUGGAGCUGAAAUCAGUCGAAGAUACCAGCUGGCUGCAACUGUUUAUUAAAAACACAGCACUGUGCAAACACGAAAGUGGACGUAUACGGUGUGACGCCUGCCCGGUGCCGGAAGGUUAAUUGAUGGGGUCAGCGCAAGCGAAGCUCUUGAUCGAAGCCCCGGUAAACGGCGGCCGUAACUAUAACGGUCCUAAGGUAGCGAAAUUCCUUGUCGGGUAAGUUCCGACCUGCACGAAUGGCGUAAUGAUGGCCAGGCUGUCUCCACCCGAGACUCAGUGAAAUUGAACUCGCUGUGAAGAUGCAGUGUACCCGCGGCAAGACGGAAAGACCCCGUGAACCUUUACUAUAGCUUGACACUGAACAUUGAGCCUUGAUGUGUAGGAUAGGUGGGAGGCUUUGAAGUGUGGACGCCAGUCUGCAUGGAGCCGACCUUGAAAUACCACCCUUUAAUGUUUGAUGUUCUAACGUUGACCCGUGAUCCGGGUUGCGGACAGUGUCUGGUGGGUAGUUUGACUGGGGCGGUCUCCUCCUAAAGAGUAACGGAGGAGCACGAAGGUUGGCUAAUCCUGGUCGGACAUCAGGAGGUUAGUGCAAUGGCAUAAGCCAGCUUGACUGCGAGCGUGACGGCGCGAGCAGGUGCGAAAGCAGGUCAUAGUGAUCCGGUGGUUCUGAAUGGAAGGGCCAUCGCUCAACGGAUAAAAGGUACUCCGGGGAUAACAGGCUGAUACCGCCCAAGAGUUCAUAUCGACGGCGGUGUUUGGCACCUCGAUGUCGGCUCAUCACAUCCUGGGGCUGAAGUAGGUCCCAAGGGUAUGGCUGUUCGCCAUUUAAAGUGGUACGCGAGCUGGGUUUAGAACGUCGUGAGACAGUUCGGUCCCUAUCUGCCGUGGGCGCUGGAGAACUGAGGGGGGCUGCUCCUAGUACGAGAGGACCGGAGUGGACGCAUCACUGGUGUUCGGGUUGUCAUGCCAAUGGCACUGCCCGGUAGCUAAAUGCGGAAGAGAUAAGUGCUGAAAGCAUCUAAGCACGAAACUUGCCCCGAGAUGAGUUCUCCCUGACUCCUUGAGAGUCCUGAAGGAACGUUGAAGACGACGACGUUGAUAGGCCGGGUGUGUAAGCGCAGCGAUGCGUUGAGCUAACCGGUACUAAUGAACCGUGAGGCUUAACC
rnacentral:rRNA from 1 species